rnacentral:rRNA from 2 species
UUUUAUGGAGAGUUUGAUCCUGGCUCAGGAUGAACGCUGGCGGCGUGCCUAAUACAUGCAAGUCGAGCGAACAGACGAGGAGCUUGCUCCUCUGACGUUAGCGGCGGACGGGUGAGUAACACGUGGAUAACCUACCUAUAAGACUGGGAUAACUUCGGGAAACCGGAGCUAAUACCGGAUAACAUGUUGAACCGCAUGGUUCAACAGUGAAAGACGGUCUUGCUGUCACUUAUAGAUGGAUCCGCGCCGCAUUAGCUAGUUGGUAAGGUAACGGCUUACCAAGGCAACGAUGCGUAGCCGACCUGAGAGGGUGAUCGGCCACACUGGAACUGAGACACGGUCCAGACUCCUACGGGAGGCAGCAGUAGGGAAUCUUCCGCAAUGGGCGAAAGCCUGACGGAGCAACGCCGCGUGAGUGAUGAAGGUCUUCGGAUCGUAAAACUCUGUUAUUAGGGAAGAACAAAUGUGUAAGUAACUAUGCACGUCUUGACGGUACCUAAUCAGAAAGCCACGGCUAACUACGUGCCAGCAGCCGCGGUAAUACGUAGGUGGCAAG